GUGAGGAAUAUUGCGCAAUGGAGGCAACUCUGACGCAGCCAUGCCGCGUGCAGGAAGAAGGCGCUACGCGUUGUAAACUGCUUUUAACCGGGAAGAAACCCCAGGACGUGUCCUGGGUUGACGGUACCGGAGGAAUAAGCACCAGCUAACUUCGUGCCAGCAGCCGCGGUAAUACGAAGGGUGCAAGCGUUAUCCGGAUUCAUUGGGUUUAAAGGGUGCGUAGGCGGAGCGUUAAGUCAGUGGUGAAAUCCUGCAGCUUAACUGUAGACUUGCCAUUGAUACUGGCGCUCUUGAGUGCGCUUGAAGUGGGCGGAAUGUGCCGUGUAGCGGUGAAAUGCUUAGAUAUGGCACAGAACACCAAUUGCGAAGGCAGCUCACUAAGGCGAUACUGACGCUGAGGCACGAAAGCGUGGGGAUCGAACAGGAUUAGAAACCCCAGUAGUCC
rnacentral:rRNA from 1 species